UUUAUUCCCACACCAGGAUGUCGUAAGGCGCUAAGUUUUAACCAUAAGUGUCAAAUAAUAAAACUGAUUUUCUCUGGCCUACAGCCUCACUCUGGAUCAUCUGAGGGCACAGAAAAUACAGCUAAGCUAAAGUUUAUUAUGUGUAGAAUUCCGGCGCGGAACCGAGCGGAUGCGGAACGCGAUUUUUGUAUGUGUAGCGUCUAAGCUAACCAUGCUAAGCUAAAGCGGCUAACUUCAUUUUGUAAUGAUAAAGUGAAAAAAAAGCUAAGCUCCUGCGAUCAUUAUGGCAGCGGGAACAGGCGCCGCUUCGGGCGCAUCUCUGGAGUCCUCUCUGGACAGGAAGUUUCGAAAUGUGACAAACACGAUGGACUCCAUUCAAGGACUAUCAACGUGGUGUAUAGACAACAAGAAGUACCACAGCCUCAUUGUGCGCCACUGGAUGAAGUGUGUGAGGAAAGCUAACGCCUCCCACCGGCUCAACUUGGUAUACCUCGCCAACGAUGUCAUUCAAAACUGCAAAAGAAAGAACGCCAUCGUUUACCGAACGGCUUUUGCCGACGUGCUACCAGACGCCUUCUUACUGAUCAACAGUGAAGGAGACCCCAAUAUGAUAAAAUCAGUGGAGAGGAUUCUGUCCAUCUGGGAGGAGAGGGACAUGUAUUCGGGGACGCUCAUUACUGAGCUUAGGAAUACUUUAGCUAAAGAAGAGUCCCCUCCUGAGACACCCGUGGAGCAAAAAACUCCGCUUGAGUCUAAAGCAGAUCUGCGGUCCAAGAUUGUGGCUGAGUUUGUGCCGCAGGCGUUAAUGGAACAACUGUCCAAGUACAAGAGAUCUCUGGAGGAGGUUGAUCUCAGAGAAAAACAGCUGUCUGCCAUGAGGGUUGACAUCUUCAGUUCGGAUGCUCUCAAGAAACUCAAAGAUAAAGCAGGAGGAAAGAAAUUCUCCAGGGACUUUGAGGAGGGAAGCGCACAGCUGCAGGAGUUUGUGAAGUUCUUUGAGCAACAAUCCAAAGUUGGUCCUCCGCUCCUGGAAGCACUCAGCAAUGCAGAUAUCUUUUAUGAAAUGCAGUACAAAGAGGUCAAGAUUGUCGCUAACGCUUACCAAACAUUUGCAAACCGGGUGAACCACCUCAAACGUAAACUGGACGCCCUGAAAGCCAACCUACCAGACCUGGACGACUCGCCCAUCCCCUCGCCUUCUGCAGACGCACCUUCUCCAACCGGCUCAGAGUCCCCGUUUCACGGCUUGGAGCUGGCCCAUCCUGACCCAGAUCUCGAUGGUUCCGCCAUGGAUGACGAUACCGAACCACCGGCCCCGAGCCCUUUGUCCUCACCGGGCGGGUCGCCCAAAGGCGCAGACGUUCUCGGAGGAAACGACAACCGCGAAGUGGAGGACAUGGAGCUCUCGGAUGAGGAAACGGACGGCGGUGGAAUCAUAGUCGAGGAGUCGAUUGAACCCGAGCGCCCACCAGAGAACCCCGCUCCAGUUCCUGAAACAAUUGAACCGGCAGUAGCGACAGAGCCAAUUGUCCCUGAGGUCGCCCCGAGUGCAGCUGUUCCUGCAGCCGCCGUGCAAAGUGUCGACAUGGACAAAAUUGGCUCCAUCCUCAACAGCAUCAACCCAGUAACGAAGAACACAGGGCCUGUGAUGGAGAGUCCUCCUGCAGCUGCACCCAUUAGUUCCUUUACGAAGCCCAAACUUGCUCCUUUGAUCCUACAAGACGCCAGUUCUUUAAUUAAUCUCCUCUCCAAGGUGGAUAUGAGUCCUGCAGACCUCCUCAGUGCUCUGUCCAAAGUUCAGGGUCAAAGCACUCAGAAAGGCGUCACUUCUCGCCUGUCACCCAAUGUUGCCCCAAAUUCCCUGACUGCAGACAACAACACCCCAUCUCCGUUAUCCACGUCAUCAUCAGAGGUUCCCUCUCGGAGCGCGUCUCCCUCCCUCACAGCACCUGAGCCUCCUUCAUCCGGCUCUGCUGUGCAGCAAAGCGUGAGCGCUCCAGCAGCCCCCGAAACGUCGAACAAAGCUUCUGCUCUGGUCCAAGCUCUUCACAGAGACAUGGACCUGGCCACAGAAACAGAACCGUCCUACUCCUCUGUGAGUUUAGAGUCUAAAAUCCACAACUUCCUGCAGGGAAACCCCGUCUUUAGUUCGUUUGACUUGAAGUUUUCGACAAACCCAGCACCGGAAGGGGACACUUUCAGCCCCGUGGCUGGCGCAGACAACCAAGAAGGGACCCCAGUUAGGGACGAAGGAGGAGGGACCCCAACUCAAGACGAGAUCAUGGACAAGCCAGCGGUGGUCCCGUUCACGUCUGGCAUAAAUCCGUUAGCAGUCGGUGACAUGGUCAAAUCAGCUUCUGUGUUGUUUGAUAACGGCACACAGCAGAUUCCCAACAAUCCUCCUCAUCGAGCUCACUCGCUGCCGAGUGUGGCUCAGAACGGCCAGCUCUUCCACACAUUCCCAUACGGCAAACAGGAUUUAUCACAGGGUGGGAUUACCGCACCUGUUGCACAUUAUCCUGUGCAGACAGCAGGGCCUGUACCUGGAGAUGGAGCUCCAGGCAUCGCCGGUGGCACACAGACAGUCGAGAGCUUUAAAGGGGGGAAUGAACACGGUUGGUUUGGUGAUGGUUACCCAGAGGGGAGCUCUCUGCAGCCCGGCGGCUACAACGUGCUGCCGCCUGGGGGGGCCGGAGAAAACAACACAUCAGGGCUUUAUCCAUACCAAACAGAGAACAUGCAGCAGCCACAACAGUCACUGGGGUCCAUUGCAGUUCCUUCCUUCUUUAAAAGCACCCUUCCUCCUGUCCCGAAGCUUCCACCGCCUCCGUCUGGUUUUGAGCUCCCGCCGUCCUCUGGUGUUCUGAUGAACCCAGAGCAGGAGCCUGUUCCCGGUGUGAACGCAGGGGGGGUGUUUGAAAACAGGGGGGACGGCAAUAUGAGCAGGACGGUGGUUCAGGAUCAUCAGCACGCGUCGUCGAUGCUUCCGGACAAUUUGUUCCACGAGCCACACCGCCCUCACCCAGAUGACCUGCGUUACCAGGAGGACCCGAGGCAUUACCACGACGAGCCUGGACCACACGAUGACCAUUUCUUUCACAACGAACCCUACUGCCCCCCAAACGAGCCCUAUUUUAGACCGGGAAGUCCCCCGCACCCCUACCCAAGAGUUCGAGGGCACCUCACGCCCCCGCUCUCACCCUCGGGAGACCAUUUCUUCUCUCAUGACUACCAGCGGCACAGUCUUCCCCCUCGACCUCCAAGCUACGCUCCGAGGCGACCGCCGCCCCCCCGCGAAAUCCGCCAUCCUGCCCCGAGGCCUCUGCAUCGCCCCCCUCAUCCAGCUCUCCACCCCCACGCCAGGGGACCGCCUCGUCCACCUUUCCCUCGCUUCCAGGGCCCUGACUCGAGGUUAAGAGGCAAGCGGCCAGAUCUAAGAGGGCGGGGUCCGAUGUUUCCUCCAAAAAGACCCUAUCUGCCACCACGGUACUGACGGACCGGCCCCACAGAGCGCACACGCUGCCCCCGUGAAGCCUCUGAAAAGGUGGAAGCAGUUACCUGACGGUGCAGAUACUCGUGUGGGCAUCAGAGGACAGUGAAACUGAAGGAUCCACCCGAAGAAGACAGGAAGUGGAGACGGAUAGAGGAAGUCCGGCUGCAGGAAAGACACGGAGACUCCGAGACGACAGCUGAGCUGAAGACAGAAGAUUAAAGAAAAUAAAAGGGAUCUGGAGCCACUUUGAUGUGUCUGAUGUGAUGGAGAGGCUCCCCCACAUGUUAGCCUGAUGAUGGUGGUGGAGGUGCUGCAGGUGGAGCCUGGUUCAUAAUUCACAAGACGCAAGACAUUCGGUCCUGCUGACGGAGCUGUGAGACGUUCUUUUUCACGGCAACACAACAGAAACACGUCAACAAAAUGAAUGUUUAUUUUGAGUUGAUGGUAGAGGAGUUGAAGGAGGAACCACGAGUUUUUACCUGCACACUUGGAAGCCGAGUCACGUCGACACCGGCUGCCUCGGCACCGCAUGGAAGGUUAGUGAUAACUGCAACUGUCUUGUGUGCAUUUUAGUCCUUUUUGCAAAUAUUGAACUAAAGAUGUGGUGUGGUAUCCUAAAAUCAUCCUCAGCGGAUAACAUGAUCACUAGGAAUCAGGAAAAAUCUAAUAUGGAAACUUUGCCCAACGUGUUUUUUUCACCAGAAUACUGGCUUUAUUUAAGUAAUCCUUAUUUUUCGAAAUGGUUAAACUUAAAAGAUGCAAACACCUAUUUAACAUAACUUUAGGUGGCUAUUAUAAACCAAUCACAUAAAAUCUAAAUUAUUUCUGAGAUAAAUCAUUUCAUUUUCAUAUAUUUAAUCAUCUUAGAUCAGUUGAGUUUUAUUCAUCUGCUUUUUCUUUGUAAUACGGCUUUUAAAAAAUCGUAUAUAUGAUCAGCUGCAGCAGGAAUUAAAUCCCUAAUUUAAUCCAUGUUCUACUUUUAGUUAGUCCUCGUCAGUUCUGAGAGUUUUUAAUGCAACAUUUUUGUUUUGUUUUAGUAUUUUAUUUUAUUUUGGCUCAGAAUGGAUGCAUCAUUCGGUAAAAUCCCAUUGAAAUCCUGCAGACAGCUUGUUUUUCCUCUCCUGUGUUGGACAUGAAUAUUAACGCUCCUUCUGGCGUCAUCGUGUGUUUGUCACCAGAUGUCGUUGUUGGUUAUAAACGUGGGAAAAAACGACACAAAUCACGUUUCUGAAUUUCGUCUCUGAUCAAUUUAAUGUUCCGAGACGGAAGCUUUAGCUUUAAAAAAAAAUCUAAUAUAAACGACGUGGAUUCCACAGAGAGAUUUGUGUUUAAUCUCCAUCCAUGUUACCGGAGCAGAUCGUGACUCCUUUGAAGUGGCGGGUUGUGCGCAUGCGCGGUGCCCGCUGUCAUGUGGGCUCAUUGUUUACAUGCUGCCGAAAUCUCAAAGAGGGCGUGUUUUCUGCCCGCGCGUCGUCUGAAAUGACAUUUUAUAGAAACAACUCGGGACAUUUUUCUUUCUUUUCUCCCAUCCGGCUCUGAUUGACAAUUUAAUCAAGCCGCGUCGUUGUGGCCCGAGCGGAGACGAGACGUUUCAGAACCACGGCCAGCUCCGCGGUGAGAACAAAAGGCGGAUUUCAGGCUUUUGAUGUCAGGGAACGUCGACGAUUUACCUUCUUCAAUAAAAACGAAAACUCCUCUGAGCAUCUCAAUCCCACUUAUAGCUCAGGAUAUUGUUUUUACAACUACAAUUUUCAGCAGAAAAUAAAAAUUAUUUUACUCUAUGGGA